UUCAGCGGCGGACGGGUGAGUAAUGCCUAGGAAUCUGCCUGGUAGUGGGGGACAACGUUUCGAAAGGAACGCUAAUACCGCAUACGUCCUACGGGAGAAAGCGGGGGAUCUUCGGACCUUGCGCUAUCAGAUGAGCCUAGGUCGGAUUAGCUAGUUGGUGAGGUAAUGGCUCACCAAGGCGACGAUCCGUAACUGGUCUGAGAGGAUGAUCAGUCACACUGGAACUGAGACACGGUCCAGACUCCUACGGGAGGCAGCAGUGGGGAAUAUUGGACAAUGGGCGAAAGCCUGAUCCAGCCAUGCCGCGUGUGUGAAGAAGGUCUUCGGAUUGUAAAGCACUUUAAGUUGGGAGGAAGGGCAGUAAGCUAAUACCUUGCUGUUUUGACG
rnacentral:rRNA from 2 species